AUGGGAAAUCCUAGCCUAACAGUCUCUUCUCCAGUUCCCGAGAGAAUCGGCUGGGUUCCAUGUCCCCGGGCUUCAUCUUCUGCAUCUCUGGAGGAGACAGAAAGUCAUGGUAGCUAUUCCUCUGGAAAUGUCAUAGGCCGUUUUGGAGAACGAGAUGAUCAACAGGUAUUUAUCCAGAAAGUUGUUCCCAUUACUAACGAACUGUUUGUCAGACUCUCAUCUACUGGAAAAAGAAUAUGUGAGAUCCAAGCUGUUGACUGGACUACAAUCUCCUCGUGUACGGUCAGAGAGUGUGAGGGAUCCAGUAGAAUGGGUUCUAGACCAUGGUGCUAUUUGUUCACAGGCCAUAUGAAUAGCAGCAUUCAAAUGUGGGAUCUGACCAUGGCUAUGGACAUGGUUAACAAAAGUGAAGAUAAAGAUGUAGGUGGUCCAACUGAGGAAGAGCUACUGAAAUUACUGGAUCAGUGUGAUCUGAGCAGCUCGCACUGUGCUACUCCUAACAUCAGUCCAACAACGUCUGUGGCUCAGCAUAUUCGGCUGCGGGAAUCAAAUUCUAGCCUUCAGCUUCAGCACCAUGACACUAUCCACGAAGCAGCUAUGUAUGGUUCCGUGAGGUCUUACAGGGAGAGUCCUUUGUUAGCUAGGGCCAGGAGAACUGAGAGCUUUCACAGCUAUAGGGACUUCCACACUAUGAAUUCCAACAGAAAUGUAGAGCGAACUGUCCCUGAACAUGGUAACUUGGGUCCAAUACAAGCGGAAAUGAAGCGGGCAACAGGGGAAUGUAAUCUCUCUGAGAGAAAAUCUCCUGGAGCAGAAAUAAAAAGUUUGAGAGAAGCAGAUAGUGGAUUGGAAGCUCAAAAAAUAGCUGAAGUUUUUUCAGAAUCCAAGAAAAGGUCAUCAGCAGAUGAAAAUGAAAAUAGAGUUAAGGAAGAAAGGAGGAUUUGAAGGGGGAGGAUUCCUGGGAAGAAAGAAAGUCCCCUAUCUGGCAUCAUCACCAAGUACUUCUAAUGGAGGGACUGAUUCACCUGGUACUACGUCCCUGUCUCCUACAAAGACCACUCCAUCUCUGCGACAUAAAAAAAGUGAUUCUUCAGGUCAAGAGUAUAGCUUGUGA